CCGGCCUUAACUCGGUUGGUAGCAGCGGCAGACUGUAGUGGCGCCUGAAUCCAGCAGGAUCGCCGGCAUCAGCUGGCAUCUGUUGGUCCCCGGUUCAAAUCCGGGAGGCCGGA